ACGGGUGAGUAAUGUCUGGGGAUCUGCCCGAUAGAGGGGGAUAACCACUGGAAACGGUGGCUAAUACCGCAUAACGUCGCAAGACCAAAGAGGGGGACCUUCGGGCCUCUCACUAUCGGAUGAACCCAGAUGGGAUUAGCUAGUAGGCGGGGUAACGGCCCACCUAGGCGACGAUCCCUAGCUGGUCUGAGAGGAUGACCAGCCACACUGGAACUGAGACACGGUCCAGACUCCUACGGGAGGCAGCAGUGGGGAAUAUUGCACAAUGGGCGCAAGCCUGAUGCAGCCAUGCCGCGUGUAUGAAGAAGGCCUUCGGGUUGUAAAGUACUUUCAGCGGGGAGGAAGGCGAUGUGGUUAAUAACCGCGUCGAUUGACGUUACCCGCAGAAGAAGCACCGGCUAACUCCGUGCCAGCAGCCGCGGUAAUACGGAGGGUGCAAGCGUUAAUCGGAAUUACUGGGCGUAAAGCGCACGCAGGCGGUCUGUUAAGUCAGAUGUGAAAUCCCCGGGCUUAACCUGGGAACUGCAUUUGAAACUGGCAGGCUUGAGUCUCGUAGAGGGGGGUAGAAUUCCAGGUGUA
rnacentral:rRNA from 2 species